rnacentral:rRNA from 1 species
UGGGGGAUAUAGCACAAUGGGCGAAAGCCUGAUGCAGCGACGCCGCGUGGGGGAUGAAGGCCUUCGGGUUGUAAACUUCUUUUGCUCUGAACAAGGCGCACCAUGGGGUGUGUUGAGUGUAGGGGUUGAUUAGCGCCGGCUAACUACGUGCCAGCAGCCGCGGUAAUACGUAGGGCGCGAGCGUUGUCCGGAAUUAUUGGGCGUAAAGGGCUUGUAGGUGGCUGGUUGCGUCUGUCGUGAAAGCUCAUGGCUUAACUGUGGGUUUGCGGUGGGUACGGGCUGGCUUGAGUGCAGUAGGGGAGGCUGGAAUUCCUGGUGUAGCGGUGGAAUGCGCAGAUAUCAGGAGGAAUACCGGUGGCGAAGGCGGGUCUCUGGGCUGUUACUGACACUGAGGAGCGAAAGCAUGGGGAGCGAACAGG